GAUGAACGCUGGCGGCGUGCCUAACACAUGCAAGUCGAGCGAGUCUCUUCGGCGUAGAGCGGCGGACGGGUGAGUAACGCGUGGGUAACCUGCUCUGUACACACGGAUAACAUACCGAAAGGUAUGCUAAUACGAGAUAAUAUGCUUUUAUCGCAUGGUAGAAGUAUCAAAGCUUUUGCGGUACAGGAUGGACCCGCGUCUGAUUAGCUAGUUGGUAAGGUAACGGCUUACCAAGGCGACGAUCAGUAGCCGACCUGAGAGGGUGAUCGGCCACAUUGGAACUGAGACACGGUCCAAACUCCUACGGGAGGCAGCAGUGGGGAAUAUUGCACAAUGGGCGAAAGCCUGAUGCAGCAACGCCGCGUGAGCGAUGAAGGCCUUCGGGUCGUAAAGUUCUGUCAUCAAGGAAGAUAAUGACGGUACUUGAGGAGGAAGCCCCGGCUAACUACGUG
rnacentral:rRNA from 1 species